AAAGGUUACUGUAAUUCACUUGAGGG
rnacentral:piRNA from 1 species